ACGCCGGCGGUGUGCCUAAUACAUGCAAGUCGAACGCGUUGGCCCGACUGAUUGAUGAUGCUUGCAUCUGAUUGACGACGGUUUACCAACGAGUGGCGGACGGGUGAGUAACACGUAGGCAACCUGCCCAGAAGCGGGGGACAACAUUUGGAAACAAGUGCUAAUACCGCAUAACAACGAAAACCACAUGGUUUUCGUUUAAAAGAUGGUUUCGGCUAUCACUUCUGGAUGGGCCUGCGGCGCAUUAGCUUGUUGGUGAGGUAACGGCUCACCAAGGCUGUGAUGCGUAGCCGAGUUGAGAGACUGAUCGGCCACAAUGGAACUGAGACACGGUCCAUACUCCUACGGGAGGCAGCAGUAGGGAAUCUUCCACAAUGGGCGCAAGCCUGAUGGAGCAACACCGCGUGAGUGAAGAAGGGUUUCGGCUCGUAAAACUCUGUUGUUGAAGAAGAACGUGCGUGAGAGUAACUGUUCACGCAGUGACGGUAUUCAACCAGAAAGUCACGGCUAACUACGUGCAGCAGCCGCGGUAAUACGUAGGUGGCAAGCGUUAUCCGGAUUUAUUGGGCGUAAAGCGAGCGCAGGCGGUUUUCUAAGUCUGAUGUGAAAGCCUUCGGCUUAACCGGAGAAGUGCAUCGGAAACUGGAUAACUUGAGUGCAAGAGAGGACAGUGGAACUCCAUGUGUAGCGGUGGAAUGCGUAGAUAUAUGGAAGAACACCAGUGGCGAAGGCGGCUGUCUAGCUUGCAACUGACGCUGAGGCUCGAAAGCAUGGGUAGCGAACAGGAUUAGAUACCCUGGUAGUCCAUGCCGUAAACGAUGAGUGCUAGGUGUUGGAGGGUUUCCGCCCUUCAGUGCCGGAGCUAACGCAUUAAGCACUCCGCCUGGGGAGUACGACCGCAAGGUUGAAACUCAAAGGAAUUGACGG
rnacentral:rRNA from 1 species